rfam:Ipomoea nil DNA, scaffold: scaffold2422, cultivar: Tokyo-kokei standard.
GGUCUUAUAGCUCAGUUGGUUAGAGUGUUGGUCUUAUGAGUUGAAAGUCGCGGGUUCAAGCCCCGCCAAGACUA